AGUACACUUGCAAUGUUGCAGGAUAAUCUGAUUUGUUCUAAAUUGAGAUGCCAAAAUAAAUAAAUAUAUAACAUUACAGAAAUUAUUUUUUUUAAAAAAAAGGGGAUUCAAACAAAACAAAGUUCCUAAUAGUUCCAAAAUUCAAAUAUAAAAUAAGUAUUUUUUUUUCCCAACAGAUAUCAAUACUGCAUACUUGUGCUGAAGAAAAGCUACCACA
rnacentral:misc_RNA from 1 species